AGCCGCCGCGGGAAUACGGAGGGUGCAAGCGUUAAUCGGAAUUACUGGGCGUAAAGCGCACGCAGGCGGUCUGUCAAGUCAGAUGUGAAAUCCCCGGGCUUAACCUGGGAACUGCAUUUGAAACUGGCAGGCUAGAGUCUUGUAGAGGGGGGUAGAAUUCCAGGUGUAGCGGUGAAAUGCGUAGAGAUCUGGAGGAAUACCGGUGGCGAAGGCGGCCCCCUGGACAAAGACUGACGCUUAGGUGCGAAAGCGUGGGGAGCAAACAGGAUUAGAUACCCGCGUAGUCCCUGUCUCUUAUACA
rnacentral:rRNA from 1 species